UCAUACUUAGGCAGCCUGUUUUCCACCCUAGUUUGUGGGAUCUUGUUUUUGCACAGUUAUUAGGUAGCCUGCAGUACGUUACGUUUGUGUAUUCAUUUGUUGUUUUGUUGGUGUUCGUCUUAAUACAGAAAGAUGUACGCUUACCACGCAGCGCCUUGGUCUCCUUCUAACGACGUGCUGUAAGAGUCCUGGAGGACAGGUAGUUUGGGCAGACCGCAUCACAUUGGGCAGACCGUAUCACCCUCUGGAUAGCCCUGCGGUUACGGGCGGUGCCUUUGCCGUACCAGGCGGGGAUACAGCCCGAAGAUGGUGUCUAUGAGAAGCUUUCACUGAGUUGCUUGAGUAAUUAAGAUUGUAAAUAAAACAUAUAUUUCUGACCUGAUCAUUCCAGUGCUCCACUCCCUGAUGUAAAGAACCUAUGUAUUUAGAUUAGUCCCGAAGACCUCACAUGUACAAAAUAUGGUAUAGUAUGGCAAUAGGAAUAGAUAUUUUACGUGUAUAUCCCCCACGUUACAUUUAUAUCAGGUCAUGCCUGGGAUGAGGCGGUGAAAAUGCUUUCUGUACAUCCCCCUGAUCUUCAACAGACGCGGUCAGAUAUCUAGUCUAGAUAGUGGUGGUGUUUCAUGUCCAGCACAUAGUAGGUCAAUGUAUUUAGAUUAUGUGUUGGAAGUUGGAACAUAUGGGAGAAGUCUAGAGAUCACUAGGAUAGCUUAUGUUCCCAUUGGUGUAAAUGUAUGGCCCUAGCCUACACGAUGCCAUGAAAGCUGAACAUGAUGUUUAAUGGGAAAAAAAUCAGUUUAAAGAAUUGCAUUGUGUUUUGCCUUUUAUUCUAGCCUACUACUGUGCACUAAAUAUUUCAAAUGUUUUAGAAAGGUAACAUAGCCCCUGUGUGUGUGUGGUGAUGUACAAUAUACAGCAUAUAGGCUAUAAACAGUUAGUGAGCACAUUCUAUGUACCUAGGUGUUGUUUCCAGUUACAUACUCAAGGUAAACAGAAAUCCAACAACAGUGUGUGUUAUACAUUUGUAAUGGUAUCAAAACAAUUGUAAUCCA